rnacentral:rRNA from 1 species
CACGGCCUAUCAGCUUGUUGGUGAGGUAAUGGCUCACCAAGGCAUCGACGGGUAGCUGGUCUGAGAGGAUGAUCAGCCACACUGGGACUGAGACACGGCCCAGACUCCUACGGGAGGCAGCAGUGGGGAAUCUUGCACAAUGGGCGAAAGCCUGAUGCAGCAACGCCGCGUGCGGGAAGACGGCCUUCGGGUUGUAAACCGCUUUCAGCAGGGAAGAAAAUGACGGUACCUGCAGAAGAAGGUGCGGCCAACUACGUGCCAGCAGCCGCGGUGACACGUAGGCACCAAGCGUUGUCCGGAUUUAUUGGGCGUAAAGAGCUCGUAGGCGGUUCAGUAAGUCGGGUGUGAAAACUCUGGGCUCAACCCAGAGAGGCCACCCGAUACUGCUGUGACUCGAGUACGGUAGGGGAGCGGGGAAUUCCUGGUGUAGCGGUGAAAUGCGCAGAUAUCAGGAGGAACACCAGUGGCGAAGGCGCCGCUCUGGGCCGUAACUGACGCUGAGGAGCGAAAGCAUGGGUAGCAAACAGGAUUAGAUACCCUGGUAGUCCAUGCCGUAAACGUUGGGCACUAGGUGUGGGUUCCAACCAACGGGAUCCGCGCCGUCGCUAACGCAUUAAGUGCCCCGCCUGGGGAGUACGG